GGAAGGUGCGAGCGGUUAAUCGGGAAUCACUGGGCGUAAAGCGCGCGUAGGCGGUUAGGUAAGUCAGAUGUGAAAGCCCCCGGGGCUUAACCUGGGGAACUGCGUUUGAUACUGCCUAACUAGAGUGUGAUAGAGGGAAGUGGAAUUCCACAUGUAGCGGUGAAAUGCGUAGAGAUGUGGAGGAACACCAAUGGCGAAGGCAACUUCCUGGAUCAACACUGACGCUCAGGUGCGAAAGCGUGGGGAGCAAACAGGAUUAGAUACCCUGGUAGUCCACGCUGUAAACGAUGUCUACUAGCCGUUGGGAGGGUUUGCCUCUUAGUGGCGCAGCUAACGCGAUAAGUAGACCGCCUGGGGAGUACGGCCGCAAGGUUA
rnacentral:rRNA from 1 species